rnacentral:rRNA from 1 species
UACGGAGGGGGCCAGCGUUGCUCGGAAUUAUUGGGCGUAAAGGGCGCGUAGGCGGCUUGGUAAGUUUGAUGUGAAAUCCCAUGGCUCAACCAUGGAACUGCAUCUCAUACUGCCGAGCUAGAGUCUGGGAGAGGGAAGCGGAAUUCCCGGUGUAGCGGUGAAAUGCGUAGAUAUCUGGAGGAACACCGGUGGCGAAGGCGGCAUCCUGGACCAAUUCUGACGCUGAGUGAGCGAAAGCCAGGGGAGCAAACAGG